CAGUCGCCACGGGAAUACGUAGGUGGCAAGCGUUGUCCGGAGUUAUUGGGCGUAAAGGGCUCGCAGGCGGUUUCUUAAGUCUGAUGUGAAAGCCCCCGGCUCAACCGGGGAGGGUCAUUAGAAACUGGGAAACUUGAGUGCAGAAGAGGAGAGUGGAAUUCCACGUGUAGCGGUGAAAUGCGUAGAGAUGUGGAGGAACACCAGUGGCGAAGGCGACUCUCUGGUCUGUAACUGACGCUGAGGAGCGAAAGCGUGGGGAGCGAACAGGAUUAGAUACCCCCGUAGUCCCUGUCUCUUAUAC
rnacentral:rRNA from 1 species